UCUGCGCGAGGGCCCGGGCCGAGUCGGGCCGGCGGCCCCUUCCGUUCCUGGUGCCGCUUCUCCGUUCUCCGUCGUCCCGGCUCCCGGGGGAUGCCCCGGACCAGGUUCUCCUCAUGGCUGCCGACGUUUUCAUGUGUUCGCCGCGCCGGCCCCGCAGUCGGGGCCGCUCGGUGCUGCUCAAGCCUCAGGUGCCCGAGGACGACGACGACUCGGACACAGACGAGCCGUCUCCGCCGCCCCUCUCCGGCGUGGCCACUUCAGCCCGGGCCCACGCGAGCGCCGCGCCGCUGCCGCCUCGGGCCGGGCCCGGUCGCGAGGAGCCUCCGCGCCGGCAGCAGAUCAUCCACAGCGGCCACUUCAUGGUGUCCUCUCCGCACCGCGAGCACCCGCCCAAGAAGGGCUAUGAUUUCGACACGGUCAACAAGCAGACGUGCCAGACCUAUAGCUUCGGCAAGACCAGCUCCUGCCACUUGUCCAUCGAUGCGUCGCUCACCAAGCUCUUCGAGUGCAUGACCCUGGCCUACAGUGGGAAAUUAGUGUCUCCAAAGUGGAAAAAUUUCAAGGGCCUGAAGCUCCAGUGGCGGGACAAGAUCCGGCUCAACAACGCCAUCUGGAGGGCAUGGUAUAUGCAGUAUUUGGAGAAGCGCAAGAAUCCUGUGUGCCACUUUGUCACCCCACUAGAUGGCUCUGUUGAUGUAGAUGAACACCGUCGGCCAGAGGCCAUCACCACAGAGGGCAAAUACUGGAAAAGCCGCAUUGAGAUUGUGAUUCGGGAGUACCACAAGUGGAGAACGUACUUCAAGAAAAGGCUACAGCAGCACAAGGAUGAGGACCUUUCUAGCCUGGCCCAGGACGAUGACAUGCUGUAUUGGCAUAAACAUAGGGACGGCUGGAAAACCCCAGUCCCCAUGGAGGAGGACUCACUGCUGGACACAGACAUGCUCAUGUCAGAAUUCAGCGACACCCUCUUCUCCACACUCUCUUCACACCAACCCGUGGCCUGGCCCAACCCACGAGAGAUAGCACAUCUGGGAAAUGCAGACAUGAUCCAGCCAGGCCUGAUCCCUUUGCAACCCAACCUGGACUUCAUGGACACCUUUGAGCCUUUCCAGGAUCUCUUCUCCUCCAGCCGAUCCAUUUUUGGCUCCAUGUUGCCGCCUCCUUCAUCAGCGCCUGCCGCAGAUCCUAGCAGCCCACCUUCUCAGGGGAACAUCUUGCCAAAUACAGCUCUCCCUCCUGUGAGCCUGCCCAAUAGCCUCAUUACAUCUUCUGCAGCCCCCUCCCUGGAUCCUACAGAGGGGCAGGGUUGUGAACGCAUGUCCCAAACCGUGGACCCGUUUAUUCAGCCUGCAGACUUUGGUCCCUCUGAGCCACCACUGAGUGUCCCACAGCCCUUCCUCCCUGUCUUUACCAUGACCUUACUUUCUCCUAGCCCCGCCCCAGCACCUGUUCCAACUGCACUGCCUUUAGUUCCUUCGCCUGCCCCUACUCUGAACCCCCCAACUCCACCAGCUUUCCUGCAGCCACAGAAGUUUGCUGGAGUCAGCAAAUCGACCCCUGUCAUUACCCACACAGCCUCUGCAACCCUCACCCACGAUGCUUCUGCCACCACCUUCAGCCAGAGCCAGGGCCUUGUUAUCACAGCACACCAUCCGACCCCCUCCUCAUCCCCCUGUGCUCUGGCACUGUCACCAGUACCCCAGCCACCAGCUGUGGGACCUCCCCAACCUCAUUUAACUUUUAUACACCCCAAACCUGUGUCCUUGACUGGAGUGAGACAUAAGCAGCCCCCCAAAAUAGUGCCUGCUCCCAAACCUGAGCCUGUCUCCUUGGUGUUGAAGAAUGCCUGCAUUGCUCCUGCUGCCUUCUCAGGCCAACCACAGAAGGUGAUCAUGACUUCAACCCCUCUGAAGAGAGAAGGGAUUCUAGCCUCUACUGUGUCCCCAUCCAGUGUGGUCCUUGCCUCUGCUGCCAUCACCAGGGCUUCUGGAGUCACAGAGUUCCUCAGCCACAGCACGAGCAGCCAGCCUAGCCCUGUCUCUCGACUUUUUUCUCCAAGUACAGUGCAAGACUCCCUGGUGAAGAGCGAGCAGGUCUCACUGCAUGGGGGUAGUCCCCAGGUCCCUGCCACAGGCUCUAGCCGUGACUGCCCGAACUCAGGCCACGCCUCUCCAUGCCCGUCAGAACAAAGUCCCAGCCCUCAGUCUCCCCAGAACAACUGCUCAGGGAAAUCUACAGACCCCAAAAAUGUGGCUGCGUUAAAGAACCGGCAGAAGCACAUCUCAGCUGAACAGAAAAGGCGUUUCAAUAUCAGGAUGGGCUUUAACACCUUGAAUAGUUUGAUCUCCAAUAAUUCCAAGCAGACCAGCCAUGCCAUCACACUGCAGAAGACCAUGGAGUACAUCACCAAGCUGCAACAGGAGCGGAUGCAGAUGCAAGAGGAGGCCCGGAGGUUGCGGGAGGAGAUCGAGGGGCUCAACACCACCAUCAUCUCCUGCCAACAGCUGCUACCUGCCACGGGAGUCCCUGUCAACUGUCGCCAGCUUGACCACAUGAAAGACAUGUUUGAUGAAUAUGUGAAAAGCAGGAUCCUGCAGAAUUGGAAAUUCUGGAUUUUCAGCAUGAUCAUCAAGCCACUGUUUGAGUCUUUCAAGGGGAUGGUGUCCACCAGCAGCUUGGAGGAGUUCCACCGGACCGCGCUUUCCUGGCUGGACCAGCACUGCUCUCUGCCUGUCCUCAGGCCAAUGGUACUGAGUACCCUCCGACAGCUGAGCACUACCACCUCCAUCCUGACAGAUCCAUCCCAGCUGCCCGAGCAAGCGUCAGAGGCUGUUACCAGGAUGGGCAAGAGAUCGGGGGAGUCCUAAGCUUAGUUGGCAUGUGACUGCAUGAGAUGCCUGGAGAUCCCCCUCAUACCCUUCCUGACACACCGCCUCAGGGCUGCCCUGGACUCCAGUGGCCCAUUGCGCCUGUCAGGAUGCUGCGCUCAGGCCUGAAGCAGGUUUGAAGCCUGCCAACAGCAGUAUCCCAUCUUGGGAGCCUUUGCUGUGACCUCCUACUCCGUGACCUCAGUCAUCAGUCUCCCCAACAUUUGGGGUGGCCCAGACAAAGGGAAACAUCGGCUGUUCCAGUCCUGUCCGCCUGGUGGUGUACUGGGGUCCAGGGCCAGCAAGUGCAAAACAGGAGACAGAGCCUGUGCCAUCACCCAGGUCCUUCGGAAUUCCUUUCUUGAGACUUCAAGACUUGGCCCCUGUCACAUUCUUAUCUACUUGUGCUCCCCUGCACACUUUUUGGCCUCUGUCGCAACAGUGAAGUCUCUCCAUCUCUUGUUACUCCAUCGGCACCUAAUCCUCUGGGUUACUGUUCCAACCUCUGCAGAAAGGAAUGUACCGCCUCCCUUGUGUAUUCUAUUGAAGGGGAAAUCUCCACAAAUCCCUGCGAUCACAUGGAAGAGAGUGGGUGUGGGGGCCAACUGGACAGGAUGAAGAAGGCACCAGCCAUGCAAAGCUGCUGUGUGGCUCAGAAACUCCCCAGGCCUUGCCUUGUCUAAGUCUUAGUCCUAUCUGCAUUGCAGUCGCCAUGCCCGUCUCAGCAUGGCCAGGGCCUCGGCCCAGAGCCUCUAAGGCCUCACAGCUGGGGCCCUUCUGUGCCUGUUCUCCACCCACUUCGACUCUGCAGUUGUGGGAGAGGCAGAUACACUCCUGGGAUGGUGUCCCCCUUGGUUUUAGCAUUCAAAGGUCACACUCCAUGAUGCUGCUGUCAGCCAUGUCUUUUAUCUGAAGUUUAGCUGGGGCUCCAAACCAGGACAGUUCUCAGACCAAAGAUGUCAUCAUACUAAAAUCUGUCUCGCCAUGAGUGAGGAAGAAGAAACAAAUGCUGUCAGGCAAGAUGCCAAGGAGUCAGCCCGUGACUCUGCCACCGGGCCAGCUGGUAAAGUGCUGUGCCCGGAUUUGAACCAGUGAAGUUUGGAGGGCGGCCCGCGUCUGAAGGUUCAAGUGUCCCAGUGUGUUACAGAUGGUAGAGACAUGAAAAGGUUAGGGGAGGAGGGAGCCUGACUGUCAUCCUUGUCUUUGCUGCCUCUGAGAUGCUGCAGGUGGUGAAGCGCUCUCUGCAGCACUUAGCCCUGGAAAGGGUACCUCCCAGAAGAAUGUGGUUUUUAUCCUGCUGUGACACCUAGAGCAGGCUUUUUCUCCUGCCCCUGCCUCACCAUGCUGCCUGUCCUGAGAAGACCACAUGAAGAGGGGAGCCCAGGAUGUCCUCUGAAUUUCCGAUCUAUUUGGAAGCUCCUGCUGAUGCCUAAGCCCGCCCUGGACAGCUGGAGGACAAUAAAAGGGUAGGGGCUGCCGGAAGAAACUUUAAAAUGGUGGCACCGUGGAGACUAAGAAUAUCGGCCAAAAAAGGAGAAACCACAAAGCUACCUGGGAAAUCUCUGCAAGUGUUUCUGUGAAAUCUGAACAAGCCAUCAGCGCAUCUUCUGCUCGUUCUUUCGCUAUGAAUGGGCACUGCAGAGGCAGGGUAGCUCUGGCUAAAGUUGUUCCUCAGAGUUAAAGGAAAGCUAUGCAGCAGCUGUCAGAAGAGGAGGCUGGGAGUGCUCCUGUGGUUUACACAGCACAGGGGAAGCGCGGCAGCUUCGGGACUUGAUGCUGACACGCUGGCUCUUGUAGAAGAGGCUGGAAGUGGUCAGCCAGCAUGGAUUCUCAUGUGGCCCAGUCAUGAACCGUGGAUCUUGUCUGUGAGCUGUCACCUAUGCUCCCCCUCCCUCAGAUAUACAUAGAGAUCUGUCCUCUAGGGUUCUACACCCUAGGAAUGAUGUCCACUUAGAUUCUUAGGGGACGUGGUACCCAUUUUCUGGUAGAGUUCAGUGGCAGGUGGCACCAGGCCUGCCAAUGGCCAGCAGCCUCUCUUGGGUGUGUGGGGUCCUGUGGCUGCUGGAUCGCCUGGCCUCGGGAUCAGCUGCUUUCACUUGCUAGCUCUUGUCUUCCUUCCACAAUGUCAGAAAUCUGUUCACCCUACCCUGGCUCCUCAAGGGUCUCUGUCUCACUAGGGCCUCCUAAGAGAAGCUGGGUGUGCGCGCCUCUCUCUUUGCUUUCCCGGGAGAUAGACACGUCUUCUUUCUAGGUAAAUAGAUACAGGGCACAGUGGAAGCCCACCAUGGUGUGUGGAACUUGGUUUUUUCAGUCAUCUUGUGGUCUUGUUGACAAGGUGUGUGGACAGUGGCGCAGAAACAGUCCCCUAGAAUGCCCAUGUUUCAGAGAAGUUCACCUUUGGGCUUAGCCCUUUGGUGUCUUGUGGUGUUUCAGGGGACUGGGUCUGUGCAAGUAUAAGAGGAAAGCGACAGUUACGUUGCUGGGGAAGAGUAGAAAGGCACAGGGCUCGUGGGAAAUAGGUCCUUUUAGCACACACCUCGGCCAGGAUCUACUCAGCAGGUUUUGUGAUCUUAAGGAAGCUGGUGGGAGAAACCUUAGGAAACAGUACCCACCCUUUGUCACUUCAAAUAUGGGCAAGAGCAGGUCAAGCUACCAGCUCUCUCUGCGGAAUGGGCCUCUGCUCACGAGAUAGGACGGUCUGCUUGUCAGAGCUUGCAAGACUCAACCUUCUGGAAAGAAAAGGGAACUUUCCACAGUGAAUGUUAACGUGUGCGUGCAUGCGCACUCACUCAAGCCUGUGUGUGUGCAUGCGUGUGUUUACUUGGUGGAAUUUUAUUUUUGUAAAAUUCCUUUCCAGUUAUUUAGUAGAAUUCACCUAUAUCUCCCCGUCAAACUUUGGUUCCACCAUUACAACCCUAGGCAUAGUGAGUUUGGAACUCCUUUGAGAUUCCCGAACAGGAUCUGGCAUUCUUGAAAGCUGAGACUAUGGAAGGGCAGGCGGGAGACACUGACUAUAUAGCUAUUUCCUAGUUUACAUCCUGCGGGUUAAAGGGACUCCUGGCCUCGGCUAGGCUAUGUCCCUUUUGGGGGGGGGGUCCAGUACCCCUCCCCUAGGCACCUUGUCACCUGAAUCUCCACCCCACGAAACAAAGCAGGCUUAUUGGCUUGCUCUGUAGCACCCCAGCAUGUUCUUCAAGUUCUUCAAGUUUCAACCUCUGUGCACAGGCUAAGUGUAUGUUGUGUGCUUUGGUGAUGGUCUGGGCUCCUUUGAGGAGGUGGCUACACCUGGGGCAGGGUGGCUUUCAUUUAUACCAGAGAUCCCUGGGGCUGCUCGCCUGAGCCUGGUCCCCUUAAAGCCUGCUGUUGACAAGCACGUUUUCCACCAGCUGUACCCAACACUACAAUGCAUUUUUAAAACUAUAUUUGCAUC